rnacentral:lncRNA from 1 species
UCAGACUUUAUGGCAGCAGGCAACCUAUAUUGAGGGAUGAUUUCAUUGCAUAAAAACUUAACUACUGUGUUGGUGGUUUCGUUUUCGGUAGCAAAUGCCUUAGUCUAUCUGGAGAAGGUGUCUACUCGUACUAGAAGAAACUCCUGGAGAGCAGAGCCAUGCCUGCCAUUUCCAUCAUUGCAUUACCACCACCCAGCACAGUGCCUGGCACAAAAGAGUUGCUCAAUAAAUAAAUCAGGAUGAAUGGAUAAAUACACGGACAGGCACUUUGAACUACAGAUGAGCUUAAAUACUUUGUGUUUUUCUUAGUCAAACAUGUGCAAUUAAGCAUGUGAUAAAUUAUAUGAUGACCACACCUGUGUCUUGCCUGAUGAUCUUUGCAAUCACUAAACAAAGUCAAUUUUGCC